rnacentral:rRNA from 1 species
AUGAAGUUCACAUAUGUGUUGGCUGGCUGGGAAGGAUCAGCACAUGAUGCUAACAUUCUCAGUUACGGCAUGAGUUGUCAUGAUGGCAUCAACAUCCCUGAUGGCAAGUUCUACCUUGGAGAUGCUGGCUAUGCAUGUCGGUUAGGUGUUCUUCCACCCUUCAGGAAAACCAAGUACCAUCUGAACGAGUUUGCUGUUAGGAACUAUCCUAGGAUUCCUCAGGAAUGGUUCAAUCUCAGACACUCCAGCCUUAGAGUCAUUGUUGAGAGGGCCUUUGGAGCUCUGAAGAACAGGUUUAAGAUCCUAGAUCAGAAGCCAUUCCACCCUUAUCCGACCCAGGUGAAGCUUGUUCUUGCCUAUUGCAUCAUUCACAACUGGAUCCUGCAAUAG